UUGCACAGUGUUAAUAAAGUUGUGUGUUUGUACAGUGUUAAUAAAGUUGUGUGUUUGUACAGUGUUAAUAAAGUUGUGUUUGUACAGUGUUAAUAAAGUUGUGUUUGUACAGUGUUAAUAAAGUUGUGUUUGUACAGUGUUAAUAAAGUUGUGUUUGUACAGUGUUAAUAAAGUUGUGUUUGUACAGUGAUAAUAAAGUUUUGUGUUUGUACAGUGUUAAUAAAGUUGUGUGUUUGUACAGUGUUAAUAAAGUUGUGUUUGUACAGUGUUAAUAAAGUUGUGUGUCUGUACAGUGUUAAUAAAGUUGUGUGUUUGUACAGUGUUAAUAAAGUUGUGUGUUUGUACAGUGUUAAUAAAGUUGUGUGUUUGUACAGUGUUAAUAAAGUUGUGUUUGUACAGUGUUAAUAAAGUUGUGUGUCUGUACAGUGUUAAUAAAGUUGUGUUUGUACAGUGUUAAUAAAGUUGUGUGUUUGUACAGUGUUAAUAAAGUUGUGUGUUUGUACAGUGUUAAUAAAGUUGUGUGUUUGUACAGUGUUAAUAAAGUUGUGUGUUUGUACAGUGUUAAUAAAGUUGUGUUUGUACAGUGUUAAUAAAGUUGUGUUUGUACAGUGUUAAUAAAGUUGUGUUUGUACAGUGUUAAUAAAGUUGUGUGUUUGUACAGUGUUAAUAAAGUUGUGUGUUUGUACAGUGUUAAUAAAGUUUUGUGUCUGUACAGUGAUAAUAAAGUUGUGUUUGUACAGUGUUAAUAAAGUUGUGUGUUUGUAUAGUGUUAAUAAAGUUGUGUGUUUGUAUAGUGUUAAUAAAGUUGUGUGUUUGUACAGUGUUAAUAAAGUUGUGUGUUUGUACAGUGUUAAUAA